rnacentral:rRNA from 1 species
UGACGGUACCGGAAGAAGAAGCACCGGCUAACUACGUGCCAGCAGCCGCGGUAAUACGUAGGGUGCAAGCGUUAAUCGGAAUUACUGGGCGUAAAGUGUGCGCAGGCGGUUUUGUAAGUCAGGUGUGAAAUCCCGGGGCUCAACCUGGGAACUGCAUUUGGGAGUGCAUAUCUGGGGUGGCGGGGAGGGGGGUAGUAUUCCGGGUGUAGCUGUAAAAUGUGUAGAUAUGGGGAGG